rnacentral:rRNA from 9 species
UGUGACCUCAAAUCAGGUAGGACUACCCGCUGAACUUAA